GACGAACGCUGGCGGCGUGCUUAACACAUGCAAGUCGAACGGAAAGGCCUUGCUUGCCGGGUGCCCGAGUGGCGAACGGGUGAGUAACACGUGGGUGAUCUGCCCCUUACUUUGGGAUAAGCCUGGGAAACUGGGUCUAAUACUGGAUAGGACCAUGCUGUAGGUGGUGUGGUGGAAAGAUUAGUUUCGGUAAGGGAUGAGCUCGCGGCCUAUCAGCUUGUUGGUGGGGUAAUGGCCUACCAAGGCGUCGACGGGUAGCCGGCCUGAGAGGGUGGACGGCCACAUUGGGACUGAGAUACGGCCCAGACUCCUACGGGAGGCAGCAGUGGGGAAUAUUGCACAAUGGGCGCAAGCCUGAUGCAGCGACGCCGCGUGGGGGAUGACGGCCUUCGGGUUGUAAACUCCUUUCAGCCAUGACGAAGCCCUUGUGGUGACGGUAGUGGUAGAAGAAGCACCGGCUAACUACGUG
rnacentral:rRNA from 1 species